AUUGAACGCUGGCGGCAUGCUUUACACAUGCAAGUCGAACGGUAACAGGUUAAGCUGACGAGUGGCGAACGGGUGAGUAAUGCAUCGGAACGUGCCCGGUCGUGGGGGAUAACGCAGCGAAAGCUGCGCUAAUACCGCAUACGAUCUGAGGAUGAAAGCGGGGGACCGUAAGGCCUCGCGCGAUUGGAGCGGCCGAUGUCAGAUUAGGUAGUUGGUGGGGUAAAGGCUCACCAAGCCAACGAUCUGUAGCUGGUCUGAGAGGACGACCAGCCACACUGGGACUGAGACACGGCCCAGACUCCUACGGGAGGCAGCAGUGGGGAAUUUUGGACAAUGGGCGAAAGCCUGAUCCAGCAAUGCCGCGUGCAAGAAGAAGGCCUUCGGGUUGUAAACUGCUUUUGUACGGAGCGAAAAGGUCUCCUCUAAUACAGGGGGCUCAUGACGGUACCGUAAGAAUAAGCACCGGCUAACUACGUGCCAGCCGCCGCAGUAA
rnacentral:rRNA from 1 species